UGUUUUAGUGUUCUUUUGAUGAGUUUGGCUUGUUGUUAUGAACAUUGUUCGUUUUGGCGAGUUUGAACGUUUUUAGCAUGGGUAAUGUAAUGGCAUGAAUUAGUAAUCCCUUGUGAUAAGCUGUUGUUUUAGUGUUCUUUUGAUGAGUUUGGCUUGUUGUUAUGAAAAGUGUUUGUUUUGGCGAGUUUGAACGUUUUUAAGCAUGUGUAAUGGCAUGAAUGCGUUAAGCUGUUGUUUUAGUGUUCUUUUGAUGAGUUUGGCUUGUUGUUAUGAAAAGUGUUUGUUUUGGCGAGUUUGAAGGUUUUUGAGCAUGUGUAAAUGGCAUGAAUGCGUUAAGCUGUUGUUUUAGUGUUCUUUUGAUGAGUUUGGCUUGUUGUUAUGAAAAGUGUUUGUUUUGGCGAGUUUGAACGGUUUUUGAGCAUGUGUAAUGGCAUGAAUGCGUUAAGCUGUUGUUUUAGUGUUCUUUUGAUGAGUUUGGCUUGUUGUUAUGAAAAGUGUUUGUUUUGUGAGUUUGAAGGUUUUUUAGCAUGUGUAAUGGCAUGAAUGCGUUGAAGCUGUUGUUUUAGUGUUCUUUUGAUGAGUUUGGCUUGUUGUUAUGAAAAGUGUUUGUUUUGGCGAGUUUGAACGUUUUUGAGCAUGUGUAAUGGCAUGAAUGCGUUAAGCUGUUGUUUUAGUGUUCUUUUGAUGAGUUUGGCUUGUUGUUAUGAAAAGUGUUUGUUUUGGCGAGUUUGAACGUUUUUGAGCAUGUGUAAUGGCAUGAAUGCUUGUGUUAAGCUGUUGUUUUAGUGUUCUUUUGAUGAGUUUGGCUUGUUGUUAUGACAAGUGUUUGUUUUGGCCAGUUUGAACGUUUUUGAGCAUGUGUAAUGGCAUGAAUGUGUUGAAUUAGUAAUCCCUUGUGUUAAGCUGUUGUUUUAGUGUUCUUUUGAUGAGUUUGGCUUGUUGUUAUGAAAAGUGUUUGUUUUGGCCAGUUUGAACGUUUUUGAGCAUGUGUAAUGGCAUGAAUGUGCGUUAAGCUGUUGUUGUUUUAGUGUUCUUUUGAUGAGUUUGGCUUGUUGUUAUGAAAAGUGUUUGUUUUGGCGAGUUUGAACGUUUUUGAGCAUGUGUAAUGGCAUGAAAUGCUUGUGUUAAGCCGUUGUUUUAGUGUUCUUUUGAUGAGUUUGGCUUGUUGUUAUGAAAAGUGUUUGUUUUGGCGAGUUUGAACGUUUUUGAGCAUGUGUAAUGGCAUGAAUGCGUUAAGCUGUUGUUUUAGUGUUCUUUUGAUGAGUUUGGCUUGUUGUUAUGAACAGUGUUUGUUUUGGCCAGUUUGAAGGUUUUAGAGCAUGUGUAAUGGCAUGAAUGUUGAAUUAGUAAGCUGUUGUGUUAAGCCGUUGUUUUAGUGUUCUUUUGAUGAGUUUGGCUUGUUGUUAUGAAAAGUGUUUGUUUUGGCGAGUUUGAACGUUUUUGAGCAUGUGUAAUGGCAUGAAUGCUUGUGUUAAGCUGUUGUUUUAGUGUUCUUUUGAUGAGUUUGGCUUGUUGUUAUGAAAAGUGUUUGUUUUGGCGAGUUUGAACGUUUUUGAGCAUGUGUAAUGGCAUGAAUGCGUUAAGCUGUUGUUUUAGUGUUCUUUUGAUGAGUUUGGCUUGUUGUUAUGAAAAGUGUUCGUUUUGGCGAGUUUGAAGGUUUUUGAGCAUGUGUAAUGGCAUGAAUGCGUUAAGCUGUUGUUUUAGUGUUCUUUUGAUGAGUUUGGCUUGUUGUUAUGAAAAGUGUUUGUUUUGGCGAGUUUGAACGUUUUUGAGCAUGUGUAAUGGCAUGAAUGCGUUAAGCUGUUGUUUUAGUGUUCUUUUGAUGAGUUUGGCUUGUUGUUAUGAAAAGUGUUUGUUUUGGCGAGUUUGAACGUUUUUGAGCAUGUGUAAUGGCAUGAAUGAAUUAGUAAUCCCUUAUGUUAAGCUGUUGUUUUAGUGUUCUUUUGAUGAGUUUGGCUUGUUGUUAUGAAAAGUGUUGGUUUUGGCGAGUUUGAACGUUUUUGAGCAUGUGUAAUGGCAUGAAUGCGUUAAGCUGUUGUUUUAGUGUUCUUUUGAUGAGUUUGGCUUGUUGUUAUGAAAAGUGUUUGUUUUGGCGAGUUUGAACGUUUUUGAGCAUGUGUAAUGGCAUGAAUGCGUUAAGCUGUUGUUUUAGUGUUCUUUUGAUGAGUUUGGCUUGUUGUUAUGAAAAGUGUUUGUUUUGGCGAGUUUGAACGUUUUUGAGCAUGUGUAAUGGCAUGAAUGUGUUGAAUUAGUAAUCCCUUGUGUUAAGCCGUUGUUUUAGUGUUCUUUUGAUGAGUUUGGCUUGUUGUUAUGAAAAGUGUUUGUUUUGGCGAGUUUGAACGUUUUUGAGCAUGUGUAAUGGCAUGAAUGCGUUAAGCUGUUGUUUUAGUGUUCUUUUGAUGAGUUUGGCUUGUUGUUAUGAACAUUGUUUGUUUUGGCCAGUUUGAAGGUUUUUGAGCAUGUGUAAUGGCAUGAAUGCGUUAAGCUGUUGUUUUAGUGUUCUUUUGAUGAGUUUGGCUUGUUGUUAUGAAAAGUGUUUGUUUUGGCGAGUUUGAACGUUUUUGAGCAUGUGUAAUGGCAUGAAUGUGUUUAAUUAGUAAUCCCUUGUGUUAAGCCGUUGUUUUAGUGUUCUUUUGAUGAAUUUGGCUUGUUGUUAUGAAAAGUGUUGGUUUUGGCGAGUUUGAACGUUUUUGAGCAUGUGUAAUGGCAUGAAUGUGUUAAGCUGUUGUUUUAGUGUUCUUUUGAUGAGUUUGGCUUGUUGUUAUGAAAAGUGUUUGUUUUGGCCAGUUUGAAGGUUUUUUAGCACGUGUAAUGGCAUGAAUGUUUUGAAUUAGUAAUCCC